GGAAUUCAGAGAUGGAUUGGUGCUCGAAAGAGAACCGUAACACAGGUGCUGCAUGGCUGUCGCCAGCUCGUGUCGUGAGAUGUUGGGUUAAGUCCCGCAACGAGCGCAACCCUUGCCAAUAAUUGCCAUCAUUUAGUUGGGCACUUUAUUGGGACUGCCGAUGACAAAUCGGAGGAAGGUGGGGAUGACGUCAAGUCCUCAUGGCCCUUAUGGCCAGGGCUUCACACGUAAUACAAUGGUCGGUACAGAGGGUUGCCAAGCCGCGAGGUGGAGCCAAUCCCAGAAAGCCGAUCGUAGUCCGGAUUGCAGGCUGCAACUCGCCUGCAUGAAGUCGGAAUCGCUAGUAAUCGCGGAUCAGCAUGUCGCGGUGAAUACGUUCCCGGGCCUUGUACACACCGCCCGUCACACCAUGGGAGUGGGUUUUACCAGAAGUAGGUAGUCUAACCGCAAGGAGGACGCUUACCACGGUAGUAUUCAUGACUGGGGUGAAGUCGUCGUAACAAGGUAACCGUAAA
rnacentral:rRNA from 1 species